UACGGAGGGUGCGAGCGUUGUCCGGAAUCACUGGGCGUAAAGGGCACGUAGGCGGUGAAUCGGGUUGAAAGUGAAAGUCGCCAAAAAAGUGGCGGAAUGCUCUCGAAACCAAUUCACUUGAGUGAGACAGAGGAGAGUGGAAUUUCGUGUGUAGGGGGGUGAAAUCCGUAGAUCUACGAAGGAACGCCAAAAGCGAAGGCAGCUCUCUGGGUCCCUACCGACGCUGGGUGCGAAAGCAUGGGGAGCGAAC
rnacentral:rRNA from 1 species